GAUGAACGCUGGCGGCGUGCCUAAUACAUGCAAGUCGAGCGAAGCGGGGACGGGUGAGUAACACGUAGAUAACCUCCUAUAAGACUUGGAUAACUUCCGGAAACCGGAGCUAAACCGGAUGCUUAUUGAUGGACCCGCGCUGCAUUAGCUCAUUGGGACGGUAACGUCUUACCAAGGAAACGAUGCAUAGCCGACCUGAGAGGGUAAUCGGGAACAGUGGCACUGAGAAACAGACCAAACUCCUACGGGAGGGAGAAGUAGGGAAUCUUCCGCAAGGGGCGAAAGCCUGACGGAGCAACGCCGCGUGAGUGAUGAAGGUAUUCGGAGCGUAAAGCUCUGUUAUUAGGGAAGCGGUACCUAAUCAGAAAGCCACGGCUAACUACGUGCCAGCAGCCGCGGUAAUUC
rnacentral:rRNA from 1 species